GUUGCCGGAAGAAGUGGCGAAGUUACUUUUGAGGGUAUUUGAGUAGCGGCGGUGUGUCAGGGGCUAAAGAGGAGGACGAAGAAAAGCAGAGCAAGGGAACCCAGGGCAACAGGAGUAGUUCACUCCGCGAGAGGCCGUCCACGAGACCCCCGCGCGCAGCCAUGAGCCCCGCCCCCCGCUGUUGCUUGGAGAGGGGCGGGACCUGGAGAGAGGCUGCUCCGUGACCCCACCAUGUCCUCUCCUACCACGAGUUCCCUGGAUACCCCCCUGCCUGGUGAGUGACUCUCUUCCCCACCCAGCCCUUAUCACACACGAGCAGAAGCUCACUGUACCUCUCCCGGAUUCCACCCUCUUCCAGGAAAUGGCCCCCCUCAGCCUGGCGCCCCUUCUUCUUCACCCACUGUAAAGGAGGAGGGUCCGGAGCCGUGGCCCGGGGGUCCGGACCCUGAUGUCCCAGGCACUGAUGAGGCCAGCUCAGCCUGCAGCACAGACUGGGGCGUCCUUUCUGAAGAACAGAUCCGGAAGAAGAAGAUUCGGAAACAGCAGCAGGAGUCACAGUCACAGUCGCAGUCACCUGUGGGGCCGCAGGGCAGCAGCAGCUCAGCCUCUGGGCCUGGGGCUUCCCCUGGUGGAUCUGAGGCAGGCAGCCAGGGCUCCGGGGAAGGCGAGGGUGUCCAGCUAACAGCGGCUCAAGAACUAAUGAUCCAG
rnacentral:lncRNA from 1 species